rnacentral:rRNA from 1 species
UACGUAGGGCGCAAGCGUUGUCCGGAAUUAUUGGGCGUAAAGAGCUCGUAGGCGGCUUGUCACGUCGGGUGUGAAAGCCCGGGGCUUAACCCCGGGUCUGCAUUCGAUACGGGCUAGCUAGAGUGUGGUAGGGGAGAUCGGAAUUCCUGGUGUAGCGGUGGAAUGCGCAGAUAUCAGGAGGAACACCUAUAGCGAAGGCAGCUUGCUGGGACGUUACUGACGCUAAGGCGCGAAAGCGUGGGGAGCAAACAGG